rnacentral:rRNA from 1 species
GGGAUUACCUCAGUAACGGCGAGUGAAGCGGUAACAGCUCAAAUUUGAAAUCUGGCUCUUUCAGGGUCCGAGUUGUAAUUUGUAGACGAUGCUUUGGGUGUGGUGCCGGUCUAAGUUCCUUGGAACAGGACGUCAUAGAGGGUGAGAAUCCCGUAUGUGAUCGGUCGCCUUCGCCCGUGUAAAGCUCGUUCGACGAGUCGAGUUGUUUGGGAAUGCAGCUCAAAAUGGGUGGUAAAUUUCAUCUAAAGCUAAAUAUUGGCCAGAGACCGAUAGCGCACAAGUAGAGUGAUCGAAAGAUGAAAAGCACUUUGGAAAGAGAGUUAAACAGUACGUGAAAUUGUUGAAAGGGAAGCGCUUGCAACCAGACUUGGGCUGUCGCAAUCAUCCGGGGCUCGCCCCGGUGCACUUGUGGCGGCACAGGCCAGCAUCAGUUUCGGUGGUGGGAUAAAGGCCUUGGGAAUGUAGCUUCUUUCGGGGAGUGUUAUAGCCCUCGGUGCAAUGCCGCCUACCGGGACUGAGGACCGCGCUUCGGCUAGGAUGCUGGCGUAAUGGUUGUAAGCGACCCGUCUUGAAACACGGACCAAGGAGUCUAACAUCUAUGCGAGUGUUUGGGUGUCAAACCCAUACGCGUAAUGAAAGUGAACGGAGGUGAGAACCCGUUAGGGUGCAUCAUCGACCGAUCCUGAUGUCUUCGGAUGGAUUUGAGUAAGAGCAUAGCUGUUGGGACCCGAAAGAUGGUGAACUAUGCCUAAAUAGGGUGAAGCCAGAGGAAACUCUGGUGGAGGCUCGCAGCGGUUCUGACGUGCAAAUCGAUCGUCAAAUUUGGGUAUAGGGGCGAAAGACUAUCGAACCAUCUA